ACCCGCUUGACGUAGUGGUUUAACGUCUAGCUAGCUUUUACAGUAAGAGUAGUAGGUUCGAAUCCUGCGGCGGGUA
rnacentral:tRNA from 1 species